rnacentral:lncRNA from 1 species
GAUAUCAGUAAGGCGAUCAGGGAGUAUUUUCAAAAGUUAUUUAAAUCCAAUUUAAAUUCUAAUACUUUGCUAAACCUUGAUUUUAUUGAGAGCUGUAUUACAGGUGAAGAGAAUGACAGAUUGCUGAAGGACUUUACGGAAAAUGAAAUUAAGGAAGCGUUCAGUCAAAUGGAUCCUAGGAAAGCUCCGGGAAUUGACGGUUUGUCGGGGAAUUUUUUUAAAGAAAACAGGGAAGUGGUGGGGGAAGAUAUUACUAAGCAGUGUCAUGAUAUUCUUAGGGGUGUUAAAAAUGUGGAUUGUAUAAAUGAUACUAUUAUUGUUCUUAUCCCUAAAAUUAAAGAGCCGGCGGACAUGACUAAUUUUAGGCCGAUCAGUCUUUGUAGGGUGGUGUAUAAAAUCGUCGCCAAGGUGCUCGCAAAUCGCUUGAAGGAAACUCUCCCGUCAUGCAUUAGCCAAAAUCAGAGCGCUUUUGUUCCGGGGAGGAUGAUCCACGACAACAUUUUAAUUGCCCAUGAGUUAGUCCAUUAUCUCCAAAGUACAAAGAAUGGGCCAAACAAGGGGUUUGUGUAACACCCCGAACCCGAGACCGACACCGACACCGGGGUCGAACACGAGGUGUUAGCAGACUUUAAACCCCUCAUAAAAAAAUUUUCCAGACACUGCCAAUCUGCGUACUAGUCGCUUUAAAAAUCAUAUCUUGAGUUUCACAACUCGAAAAUCAGUUUUGUGAUUUUUACCUGAAACUAGACUCAUAUGCCCCUCUACAUAUUUGUUUCUAGAAUUUUUGGUCGGGCCAAUUAGUACAGUUUAUUAGUCAAAGUCUCCCAUGUUACAGGGAUCGACUACACUGACCUUUGCGCAUUACGACUUGGAUAUCUCCCUGCACAGAGCUUCAAUACUGAUGCCGUUUGUUUCUAUAGAAACUAGACUCAGAGAAAAAUCUAUACAUAUAUGGCUUGACUCCUAAUUGUCUCUGGUUAAUUUAUAAUGAAUUUCCAAAGUCGGAACAGGAAAUCCAGAAACCGUUCUGGCCCUGUCUCACGAGAACCUGAAUAUCUCUUAACAUACUGUCCGUAUGAUUGUGUCGUUACUUUCCUAUGAAAAUAGAUUCAUCAAGGCUCGUUUACAUAAUUUAUUCACUAUUUAAUUCCAUUCCUACUAUUUUUAGUGAUUUUCCAAAUCUACAUCACUGCUGCUGUCAGCAUCUGCCUUUAAGGUAGACUUUACCUAUUUCAUAGUUUCCAUGAUUCAACUAGCCCCUUUUGCAUAAGUAGCACAAUUUAUGAUAGUGAUUAACCAUUCCCAUGGCCAAUCCUUGUCAAGCCUAUCCACACCUCUCAAUAACCAUAUCCAUACCAAAUGAUUAUAACAUUACACUCAAACAUAUAUAAGCCAUUUUCGCAUGGCUAACCAAAAUUAUACAAGUCCAAAGGGUCCAUGACCCACAACAAACGGGUAGUCCUAUACAUGCCAUUUCGAAGUUCAACCAAAAUUGUACCAAAAGGGGGCUUUGAUAGUGUGGGCGACUUUGACUUCAAGAUCCCGAGUCCGAUAGCUGGAGAACCAAAUCUAUAAAACAGAGGAGCAAUGAAACGGAGUAAGCAAUUUAUGCUUAGUAAGUUUUGAGCAAGGAAUUCCAGCACAACAAAAGUAUAGCAUUCAUAUAGCUAAACGGAUAAUUUCAUAUGCACAAAUUUUCGAUAUCAUACUUGCUUCACAUUACCAACCCUUAUGUACAUACACAAAAGAUCAACUUAGCCAAAGGCCGGUAGCUCGUUUAUCAACUGAGCGAAUACUUAUUUGUAAGGGCUCAACUAAAUUCAAGCACAUACGAAACAUACCUCAAUGUUGGGAUGUUUCUAGAGCAUUAACUGAAAUUUACAGCAAGAUCAUUCAUUCCCAAAUCACGUACCUUCGGAAUUUAACCAGAUAUAGCUCCUCGUUCAAAUGCCUUCGGGACAUAGCCCGGUUAUAGUAACUCGCACAAUUGCCUUCGGGACUUAACCCGGAUUUAGUAACUCGCACAAAUGCCUUCGGGACUUAACCCGGAUUUAGUAACUCGCACCAAUGCCUUCGGGCUUAGCCCGGAAUUAGUAUCUCGCACAAAUGCCUUCGGAUCUUAGUCCGGAUAUGGUCACUUAGCACAAAGCCUUCGGGACUUAGCCCGGACAUCAUUCAAAUAACCAUGCACAUUUAACAAUAAAUCAUGGCACAUUCGUAUUUCAUUUUCGUUAGCAAAACUCAAACACAAGACACUUAUCAUUCUUGUAAUUUCGGCUCAAUAGCCACACACAAAGAGCAUGAUUUUGAUUUGCUUAAAACAUGAUCUAGUCACAUCUUAAUUUAAGCUCUCUUACUCAAGAACUUACCUCGGAUGUUGUCGAACGAUUCCGAUGGCUAUUCGACCACUUUUUCCUUCCCUUUAUCGGAUUUAGUUCCCCUUUGCUCUUGAGCUUAAUUAAACAAAUAAAUUGAUUUAAUCAUUUAAGCAUCGAAAAGAGGAACACAAGGCACUUAGCCCAUAUUUAUACAUUAGACAUUAAAGUCACAUAUGUACGGAAUCAUGAAUCAAACUCAACAUUUUAGCAAUUUUUCCCCCUUGGCCGAAUUUUCUAAGCCAAGACAAAAGCAUCAAUAUGCUUGCCUCCAACCGAAUACAUGCAACACCAAAUCUUCUUCCUAUGGCCGAAUAUGCAUGUCUAUGUUGGGGCCGAUUAUAUGCUUAAUACUUCUUACAAGUAUGGUUACUUGUAUUGAUUACAAAUAUCAUCUUGUUUCAAGUUCAAAACUUGGCUAAUACACACAUAUAUACACUAGUAAAGCAUCCUCUCCCUUUCCAUCAAUUUAACACAUGCAUUGCUCAUUAACAUACAAGAGUUAUAUUCGGCCUUAGCACACAACUUGCUAGCCGAUUCUUCCCCAUCUAGCAACCAAUGCACAUAUGUGCUCACUCAAAAAUGCUAAAAAGGAGAUUCAAGAAUCAUCAAUCCACCAUCACAUGCAUCAUUACAAAGCUUUACACUUAGCAUGCAAAUGACAUCAACACAAAUCCACCUUAGCCGAAACUUAACUCAUCUUCAUGCCUCAUCACCACAACAUCAAACAUCAACCAAGAAUGAUGCAUCCAUGGCCGAGUGUCAUUUCCAUCACAUAGCAAGAUUUAGACCAUGGGCUAGGUAGAACUCAAGCUAACAACUAAAAUAUGCAUGCAUCUCAUGGAACAUCACCAAACAUACCUUAGCCUAGUCACAUGCAUGGCCGAACCUCUUCAACCUUUCUUCUUCCUUCCUCCUUAAAAUUUUUGGCCAAAGAUGAACCAAAGGAUGAGCACUUUUUUUUUUGUUUUUCUUUCUAGUUUCGGCUAAAUGGGAGGGGGGGGGAAGAAACAACCACACACUUUUUUUUUGUUUUCAUCAUAUCCCUUUUCAUUAUUUUAUGCCCAUGCCCCUUAUUUUAUUUCUCCUAACAUACCUCACUAACAUAACAUGUUUGUGACAUGUUUCCACUCAUGAUGCACUAACACAACAUGUCUAUGACAUGUCUUGCCCAUCACACUUGGUCUACCAUGCUUGUCAUGGCCGGCCACUACUAGUUAGGGGGGAAUUUGACAUGCAAGUCCCCCUUUUUUAUUUCAUGCACUAAUAGGUCCUUAUGCUUCGACCUAUCACAUUUCAAAAAUGUCGCACAUAAGUCCUAUUGACUAAAUUCACAUGCAAUCGACUAAAUCGAAGCUUGAAAUUUUCACACAUUCAUAAUUACAUAUUCUAGACAAUAAAUAUCACAUUCAUACAUUUCGGUGACUCGGUUUAGCGGUCCCGAAACCACUUCCCGACUAGGGUCAAUUUUGGGCUGUCACAGUUUGUAAUUAAGCUCGAUAUGAGCAAAGCGUAUGAUCGUGUGGAGUGGCAAUUUAUUGAAGAGGUGAUGAAAAAAAUGGGCUACGAAAAUGAAUGGGUGACUAAAAUUAUGAGAUGUGUUCGGUCGGUCCGUUAUGUUGUCAAAUGCAAUUCUACCCUAUCCGAGACGAUUACAUCGGAAAGAGGCUUAAGACAGGGGGAUCCUCUCUCUCCUUACCUUUUUUUAUUUUGCAUGGAAGCGUUUUCAAAAAUGUUAAUUCGUGCUCAAAAAAAUAAUGUGCUUAAGGGAAUUCGUGCUAGCAUAAAUGGGCCUCGUAUUAAUCACCUUUUUUUUUGCCGAUGAUGCACUCUUUUUUAUUCGUAAUAAAAAAAAAGGAUGUGGAGGAAAUUGUGAAUAUUAUUUCAAACUUCAAUUGUGAUUCGGGUCAAGAGGUUAAUAAAGAUAAAUCUAUGAUUAUGUUUAGCCCGAAUACUCCGUUGGCCCAAAGGCAACUAUUUAGCUCUAUGCUUGGCAUGCGUAUUGUUGAUAAGCUAGAUAGUUACUUAGGGUUACCGUUACCUAUUAGUAGGAAAAAAUCAUUAGCUUUUACUAACAUUCUUAAUCGUUGCAAUUGCAGAAUAAAUAGCUGGUCAAAACGUUUGUUAUCUUACAGAGGGAAAGAGGUUUUUAUCAAAGCCAUUGUUCAAGCUAUUCCGACGUAUGCUUUCUCUGUUUUUCUGGCCCCUAAAGGUAUUAUCGAAUACCUUCAUUCAAAAAUGGGACGGAUGUGGUGGAAUAAUAAUGACAAAGCACGGGGGUGGGCUAUGAUGACGUGGAAAAAAUUGUGUUAUCCGAAGGGAAUGGGAGGCAUGGGCUUUCGGGAUUUACAUCUGUUCAAUUUGGCUCUUCUUGGCAGACAGGUUUGGAGGCUUAUGACUCAACAGGAUACGUUAUGCUUUAAAGUGUUAAGUGCCAAGUAUUUCCCGGAUGGGGACGUGUUUAGAUACAAACAGAGUGAUAAACCAUCUUUCGCUUGGAAGAGCGUAGCCAAGGCGGUUGAUGCGCUAAAAGAUGGUUUUAUAUGGCAAGUGGGCGAUGGAAAUAAGAUUGAUCUUAGACGGACCAUUGGGGGGUUGAAGGCAUUAUAGGAGAGUCGGUGUGUCGGUCUCCUUUUGCUAAUAAUGAGAGAAAGGUGAAAGACUUGUGGAACCACGAAAACAAGAGGUGGAAACGGGAGAGGGUGAUUGAGAUUUAUGGUGAUACAUUGGGGGACUGCAUAUGCAAUUUGCCCAUUUCUCAUAAUGGCAUCAAAGAUACCAGGACGUGGAUUCAAAAUCCGCACGGCAUUUAUACUACCAAAUCGGCGUACUCUUGGAUGAUUCUUAAGAAAGUUGGUUUCGGUCCCUAUAGAUUUUUUUGGCGUUCCAUAUGGAAAUUAAAGAUGCUCCCAAAGAUUAAAAUUUUCAGCUGGAGAAUUGGUCACAAUAUCCUUCCAACUUUUGAUAACAUUGCUCGUAUUCGCCAGGGGUUUAAUAAUACCUGCCCGAGAUGCCACAGCAGAGAAGAGUCGCUGAUUCAUGCGAUGAAAGACUGCUCCAAGGCUCGUGAAGUCCUUGUUGCUGGAAGUUUAAAUAACAAAUUGCUGGAAGGGGAUUACAUUGACUGUAUCUACUGGCUCGAAGAUGUGUUUCGUGAGCUCGAUCAUAAGGCUACUGCUGACUUUUUAACCCUUCUCUGGAACAACUGGAAUGAUAGAAAUAAUAAGGUUUUUAAUGGAAAGAUGGAUGCCGCAGUGCUGAUUUGGGAGAGGGCACGUACUUUAAGUAAAGAUUUUAGAAUUUUUAACUUCACUGAACCUCCGGUCUUCUCCCAGAUUCAGACGAACGAGAGCUGGGAAAAGCCUCUAAAUGGCUAUAUCAAAGUGAAUGUUGACGCUGCGGUUUCGAAAGGAUUCAUGCGAUGAAAGACUGCUCCAAGGCUCGUGAAGUCCUUGUUGCUGGAAGUUUAAAUAACAAAUUGCUGGAAGGGGAUUACAUUGACUGUAUCUACUGGCUCGAAGAUGUGUUUCGUGAGCUCGAUCAUAAGGCUACUGCUGACUUUUUAACCCUUCUCUGGAACAACUGGAAUGAUAGAAAUAAUAAGGUUUUUAAUGGAAAGAUGGAUGCCGCAGUGCUGAUUUGGGAGAGGGCACGUACUUUAAGUAAAGAUUUUAGAAUUUUUAACUUCACUGAACCUCCGGUCUUCUCCCAGAUUCAGACGAACGAGAGCUGGGAAAAGCCUCUAAAUGGCUAUAUCAAAGUGAAUGUUGACGCUGCGGUUUCGAAAGGAUGCAGUGGAUUUGGCUCAAUCGCUAGAGACCACAAUGGUUUUGUCCUGGGGGGAUGCUAUAAAUUCAGGGAAGAAACUUUGGACGUUGGUUGGGCUGAGCUGGAGACGUUUAAAGACGGAAUUAAGUUAGCCGAAAAAUUAAAUUUGACCCAGCUAAUACUGGAAUCUGACAGCGCUGUUUUGGUCAACAAGGUUAAUAAGCGGACGCAGGAUAUUACCAUCUUGGGCCAGUGUAUUAAGCAAGAGUGCGGAGCCUUUAAAAAUUUUCAUGCGGUCCAAAUUAAUUGGAUAAAUCGUAAUAGAAAUCCCGUAGCUGAUUACUUGUGUAAAUUAGCUAUUAUGAAUAAGUGUGAUGUGUAUUUUGAUAUGGAUUAUCCUUUGGAUAUCCAUAAUAUUAUUCUUAAAGAUGCAAUAAAAUGAGGUUGACCUUUGGGUCGUUUUUCUUUUCAAAAACAAAAAAAAAAGGGAAUGUCGACUGGUAGCACAUUGACCAAGUUUUUUUAGCUCUUUAGGGGGGAAGUGAUAUUGAGCAGCCAGGGGUUAUCCAGGGCACUGCCCACGCCCAUCGCAUGCCCGGACAUCGGUGCCCCCCACCACCGGUUAGGUUCCCGGCGGUGCUCCGACGAUCCAUCCCAGUGAUGAUCUGGCGAUCCAUCCCGGGAUAUACAAAACGGCGCAACGAGUCCCUCCCCAAUCCCAAAAGGUAGAAUUCAGAUACCGUUACAUGUUCGGUACCCAAUAAUGAAUGAACCGUCCCAAAGCUAGAAUUCAGAUACCGUUGCAUGUUCGGUACCCAACAAUGAAUGAAUCGUCCCUGUUCCUCCCCUUUUGCAAGAAGAGCCUCCGGCACCUUUGGCCCCUGGUCGUACGGUACCCUCGUACACCAUCGGCAGCGUGUGCCAUCCCGUGGUGCGGGGCCAUCGGGGCACCACUGGCCCUUCGAUGUGUCGGAGCAUCGGGCAGCAUCGGCACCUUAGUGCAUCAGAUGUACGGGAGGGUCGAGCACCAAAGCUAAUUUUGGGCCCCCGUUGGUGCAGCGUCGGGACCAUAAAGUGUCACUGUUUCAGACACAUGAAUGUCGCCUGGUAGCACAUUGACCAAGUUUUUUUAGCUCUUUAGGGGGGAGGUGAUAUUGAGCGAACAGGGGUUGUCCAGGACACUGCCCACGCCCAUCUCAUGCCCAGACGUCGGUGCCCCCCAUCGCCAGUUAGGUUCCCGGCGGUGCUCCGACGAUCCAUUCCGGCGGUGGUCUGGUGAGCUUUUCUGGCAGUGCUCCGGUGAGCCAUCCCGGAAUAUAGAAAAUGAUGCUACAAGUCGUCCCGGUCCCUCCCCUUUUGAAUCAUCCCGGUCCCUCCCCUUUUGAAACAAGAGCCUCCGGCACCUUGGGCCCUUGGUCGCGCCGGAGCAUCAGGCACCAUUGGUAACCUAGGACGUCGAUGGAGCCGGAGCAUCCAUACAUUGCUGCUUGGACUUGCUGGAGCCUUGGACCCACAACUAGGCAACCUAGGACGUCAGUCGUGCGAGAGCCUCGAGCAGUAUCGGCACCUUGGUGCCUUGGAUAUGCAGGAGCCUCGGACACCAUCGGUAACCUAGGCCCUUGGUCGUGCGGGAGCCUCGGCCAUCAUCAGUAACCUAGGCCCUUGGUCGUGCGAGAGCCUCGGUACCAUCGACAACCUAUGCCCUUGGUCGUGCGGGAGCCUCGGACACCAUCGGUAACCUAGGCCCUUGGUCGUGCGGGAGCCUCGAGCACCAUCGGCACCUAGGCCCCUGGUCGUGCGGGAGCCUCGGGCACCAUCGGCACCCUAGGCCCCUGGUCGUGCGGGAGCCUCAGACACCAUCGGUACCCUAGGCGCCUGGUCGUGCGGGAGCCUCGGACACCAUCGGCAACCUAGGCCUCUAGUCGUGCGGGAGCUUCGGGCACCAUCGGCAUCCUAGUCCCCUAGUCGUACAGGAGCCUCGGGUACCAUCGGUAGCCUAGGCCCUUGGUCGUGCGGGAGCCCCGGACACCAUCGACAACCUAGGCCCCUGGUCGUGCGGGAGCCUCGGGACCAUCGGCAACCUAAGCUCCUAGUCGUGCGGGAGCCUCGGGCACCAUCUGCAACCUAGGCCCCUGGUCGUGCGGGAGCCUCGGGCACCAUCGGUACCCUAGGCCCCUGGUCGUGCGAGAGCCUCGGGCACCAUCGGCAUCCUAGGCCCUUGGUCGUGUGAGAGCCUUGGGAACAUCGGCAUCUAGGCCCUUGGUCGUGCGGAAGCCUCGGGCACUAUCGGCACCUUGGUGCUUGGAUGUGCGGGAGCCUCGGACACUAUCGGUAACCUAGGCCCCUGGUCGUGCGGGAGCCUCAGGCACCAUCGGCACCUUGGUGCUUGGAUGUGUGGGAACCUCGGACACCAUCGGCAACCUAGGCCCUUGGUCGUGCGGGAGCGUCGAGCACCAUCGUCACCUUGGUACCUCGGAUGUGCGGGAGCCUCGAGCAGCAUAGGCACCUUAGUGCUUGGAUGUGCGGGAGCCUCAGACACCAUAGGCAACCUAGGACGUUGGAUGUACGGGUGCCUCGAGCAGUAGGGGCACCCUGGUGCCUCGGAUGUGCAGGCUAAAGAAAAGUGUCCCCGUUUCAGACAUACGAAUGUUGCCUGGUAGUAGAUUGACGAAGUUUUUUUAGCUCAUUAAGGGGUAGAGAUCCGCUACCCCCCGACGUGGCCCCCCUCGAACCCGAGGUGGGGUGGUCCGCAGCCCCCACGGGGGUCGGAUAGUCCUGCAAUGACUCACCAAUGGUGGUGGGUCGAUCACCGGCGCUAGUGGCUGGGGUGAUGAUUUUUCGGCCGGUCAAGACCGUGCCCAUAGAAAUGUAGCCAACGACUCUAGGACCAAGUUCCCUAUAUCGGGCAAAGAUCUCCUAGUGCAUGGCCGUUCUUAGUUGGUGGAGCGAUUUGUCCUAUUAAUUCCGUUAACGAACGAGACCUCAGCCUGCUAACUGGCUACACGGAGGUGAUCCUCCGUGGCUAGCUUCUUAGAGGGACUAUGGCCUUUUAGGCCACGAAAGUUUGAGGCAAUAACAGGUCUGUGAUGCCCUUAGAUGUUUUGGGCCGCACGCGCGCUACACUGAUGUAUUCAACGAGUCUAUAGCCUUGCCCGACAGGCCCGGGUAAUCUUUGAAAUUUCAUCGUGAUGGGGAUAGAUCAUUGCAAUUGUUGGUCUUCACCGAGGAAUUCCUAGUAAGCACGAGUCAUCAGCUCGUUUUGACUACGUCCCUGCCCUUUGUGCACACCGU